GCACCAAGUGGUCAGGAUGGGAACUAGGCUGCCAGUUUGUAUUCACAGCCUCCAGCAAGGCUGCACACCAGCCAAUAUAGUGUUCCCAGGCUGUGGGAUGUCUCGGGCCCAUCUCCUCAGAGCCAUGACCAGGACCAGGGAGGAAAACGGAGCCCCACGUACCCCUAAUAGCUCAAAGAUAAGAAAGAAGGGGUGUCGUGAUAAGAACAAUAGAGAGACUAUUAGAACAGGUAAGUGUUCCAUGACUUUGUGGAAUUCCUUGUGUAACUGCUGAACCAAUGGCUC
rnacentral:lncRNA from 1 species